rnacentral:ncRNA from 1 species
UAUGAUAGAGGUUGCGGUUAUCAAGAGUACGUUUUCUGUUUGACAGGCGAAUUAGAAAACGGAAAGGGAUCGCCGCCGAAGCUUCUGCAGGUCGCCUGGCCUGCCGUUGCUGGGACUCCGGAUAAAAUCCGGUGGACUGUCGCUAAAGCGGAGAGCUGUC